UACGUAGGGGGCAAGCGUUGUCCGGAAUCAUUGGGCGUAAAGCGCGUGUAGGCGGUUCGGUAAGUCUGCUGUGAAAGUCCAGGGCUCAACCCUGGGAUGCCGGUGGAUACUGUCGGGCUAGAGUACGGAAGAGGCGAGUGGAAUUCCCGGUGUAGCGGUGAAAUGCGCAGAUAUCGGGAGGAACACCAAUUGCGAAGGCAGCUCGCUGGGACGUCACUGACGCUGAGGCGCGAAAGCUAGGGGAGCAAACAGG
rnacentral:rRNA from 1 species